CCCUACGGGCGGCUGCAGUGGGGAAUAUUGCACAAUGGGCGCAAGCCUGAUGCAGCAACGCCGCGUGAGGGACGACGGCCUUCGGGUUGUAAACCUCUUUUAGCAGGGAAGAAGCGCAAGUGACGGUACCUGCAGAAAAAGCACCGGCUAACUACGUGCCAGCAGCCGCGGUAAUACGUAGGGUGCAAGCGUUGUCCGGAAUUAUUGGGCGUACAGAGCUCGUAGGCGGUCUGUCGCGUCUGCUGUGAAAACCCGAGGCUCAACCGCGGGCCUGCAGUGGGUACGGGCAGACUAGAGUGCGGUAGGGGAGAUUGGAAUUCCUGGUGUAGCGGUGGAAUGCGCAGAUAUCAGGAGGAACACCGAUGGCGAAGGCAGAUCUCUGGGCCGUAACUGACGCUGAGGAGCGAAAGCGUGGGGAGCGAACAGGAUUAGAUACCCUAGUAGUCC
rnacentral:rRNA from 1 species